CCUACGGGAGGCUGCAGUGGGGAAUAUUGGUCAAUGGACGAGAGUCUGAACCAGCCAAGUAGCGUGACGGAUGACUGCCCUAUGGGUUGUAAACUUCUUUUAUAUGGGAAUAAAAUGUUCCACGUGUGGGCUUUUGUAUGUACCAUAUGAAUAAGGAUCGGCUAACUCCGUGCCAGCAUCCGCGGUAAUACGGAGGAUCCGAGCGUUAUCCGGAUUUAUUGGGUUUAAAGGGAACGUAGGUGGAUUGUUAAGUCAGUUGUGAAAGUUUGCGGCUCAACCGUAAAAUUGCAGUUGAAACUGGCAGUCUUGAGUACAGUAGAGGUGGGCGGAAUUCGUGGUGUAGCGGUGAAAUGCUUAGAUAUCACGAAGAACUCCGAUUGCGAAGGCAGCUCACUGGACUGCAACUGACACUGAGGCUCGAAAGUGUGGGUAUCAAACAGGAUUAGAUACCCUAGUAGUC
rnacentral:rRNA from 1 species